UGCUGCCUGGGGCAGGGCUGGAGGACCAACAACGCGAGAAACCCCCUAAUGGUGAUGGUCAAGCUUGCAGGCACCCUGCCAAGGCUUCACCAUGUGCUUGUGUGAUUGCUGUGAGAGAGAAUAAAGUGUCCAGAGACCGGGGCUACGAGGAGCAGCAGGAUUCAGGAACCAAAAGAGGGUAAACACAGACAGACGUGGAUUGCAAAAGGAAUGGAGGAAAUUCUUAAGGAGCUGGGAACUGAAACAGCAUGCGCUGUGCUGUAUCCUGAUUUGGCUUUGGGGAAUUAAAAAUUAAUCCUGU